AUACGGAGGAUGCAAGCGUUAUCCGGAUUUAUUGGGUUUAAAGGGUGCGUAGGCGGGCUGUUAAGCGUGAGGUGAAAGCUCGGGGCUCAACCCCGGAACUGCCUCGCGAACUGGCGGUCUUGAAUGUCCGUGCCGUGGGAGGAAUGUGUGGUGUAGCGGUGUAAUGCAUAGAGAUCACACAGAACACCGAUUGCGAAGGCAUCUCACGAACGGAUGAUUGACGCUGAGGCACGAAAGCGUGGGGAUCAAACAGGAUUAGAUACCCUGGUAGUCCACGCAGUAAACGAUGAUAACUAACCGCUGGUGCGCAAGUAUCGGUGGCCAAGCGAAAGCGAUAAGUUAUCCACCUGGGGAGUACGACCGCAAGGUUGAAACUCAAAUGAAUUGACGGGG
rnacentral:rRNA from 1 species